AUGCACGAGAGGAAGAAAUCAUAUAUUGAAAAAACUAUGGGAUUACAAUUGUUAAUAUUACAGGAGGAAUAACUUCCAAAUGUGAAAGCAUCCACCAACAUCCCUACAACUUCACUAAAACUUAACCAAGGAACAUCAUCCAACAGGAAUAGCAUCCCUACAAAUUAACUAAAACUGAAAACAGCCAUCAUAACAAAAACUAAAAACAGCCAUCAUCGUGAACCAGAACAUCAUCAUCAUUGUAGUAUACCUGCCAGGCACCCAUAUAAGCGUCCAUAUAUCUUUUAAAUCUACAAUGAAAAUAACAAAAUGAUCUGUUAAUACACAAUAUGUUGACAUGAUGUAAAUAGUGACGGGUUGUCCAACAAAUAAGAAAUAUUACUUCUUACAAACGGUCAUUACUUCCGAAACAUUGGUUGUCCGGCUAGAUGACGACUAUUACAAAGAAAAGUUGUAACCUGAAAGUAUUCCCUUACAACUCAAUAUACUACUUCAGGUCACAAAAGAAACAUAAACAGACUCGAAGAAAAAUAAACAGUUGUGAUUGUGGCCUAAAAGCAAGCCACUAAUAACAUAGUACUUACUUAGUUGACGGGUUAAAAGCACAAUAGACACUGCUCAUAUGGAACAGUGCAAUCGAAUUAAUGAGAAAUUCAGCAAUUUAUGAACUGUAACAGCAAGAGUUCAUGUGGAUAAUUCAGCAAUUUAUGAAUCAAAGUGGUGAGAGAUCAGCGGCGAGUUCAGCAAUGUACGAAUCAAACAGGCAAGAGCAUCUAAGGAGAACAUUACUUGCAUUUCCAUCUUCACAAAUAGUUAAGAUAUGGAGAUUGUGGACAGUUACCAGAACCAUGACUACGAACACUGUCGUAUCUUGGACAAAUCUACUCGCAGCUCCAGUCGUCUAUGAUGUUCGCCUCAAUCUCGAUAGUGCCUGAACGGAUGAGUGCGACACCUCACAUUAAAUUACACACAACAAUAGGUACACCAUUGGCGAGAUAGGAGUACAUAAAUAGUUGAAUAAGAGCAGAAAAGGAGGCUGAAAAAUGGUUAGAGCUAAUGUAAGAAAAAAAGGAAUAAAUAAAUAAUCACCACAACGGAAAUAGUCUUAGUUGAAGGUAAAACACAGUGACGUACUGUGAAUGUAGAGAAUGGCACAUUGAAAACCACCGAAUGGCAUUGAGUAUUUCUUCCUUUGGAAACCUGCGCACAAACAAACAAUGAGCCUCUACUUAACGGAUGAUAAACAUGAUUAUUAACAGUGAGCCGCUGCCUGUGUAUAUGUGUGUGUGCUUGCUGCAAGCUUUAGUAUCUCAAUGUUUGCACAUGAACAUGUGUAAAGCUUAGGUGUAGGUUGCAUCUAAGUGGGGUAUUGGGAUUCAGUUUCAGCGGUAGUAGAUAAGUACCUUUUUUUAGAUUAGUAGAUAAGUACUCGCACCGUAAACAAAUAUAAGAGCGUUUAGAUCACUGCUACUCCCUCUGUAAAGAAAUAUAAGAGCGUUUAGAUCACUAGUAGAUUAGUAGAUAAGUAUUCGCACCGUGAAGAAAUAUAAGAGCGUUUAGAUCACUACUACUCCCUCCGUAAAGAAAUAUAAGAGCGUUUAGAUCACUAGUGAUCUAAACGCUCUUAUAUUUGUUUACGGAGGGAGUACUUGGUAUAGAUGAAUCCUCUGCAAUGACUUGACCCGAGUGUAUAUAUAAUAACUACAUGCUAUGAGGGGACAAUCACAUAACCAAACGACAAAGAAAAAUGUGUACUAAAUCUCAAAAAAGAAGAUGUUUACUAUCUUAUGGUGAAUAGUAAGAGCAUACAACAAUCAGUAUAUUAACCGACGUGGAGAUAAGUAUUUAGCAGUGUUCUGAAUCAUAUCAACAACAUCAAAGCAACAUCAUAGAAGAAACCAUGCACAUUAUUAAUUCACCUUCCCACUAAAACAAAGGUGUACGUGCUUCCCCCAACAGGUCCACAUCCUCUAGUAUUUGAGCAGGACGUGAAAGCCACCAUUAGCAAGCUACUACCUCCACGUAAAUAACCUGAC
rnacentral:lncRNA from 1 species